rnacentral:rRNA from 1 species
ACGAACGCUGGCGGCGCGCCUAACACAUGCAAGUCGAACGGAGCUUAGAGAGCUUGCUUUUUAAGCUUAGUGGCGAACGGGUGAGUAACGCGUGAGUAACCUGCCCUAGAGUGGGGGACAACAGUUGGAAACGACUGCUAAUACCGCAUAAGCCCACGGUACCGCAUGGUACUGAGGGGAAAGGAUUUAUUCGCUUUAGGAUGGACUCGCGUCCAAUUAGCUAGUUGGUGAGGUAACGGCCCACCAAGGCGACGAUUGGUAGCCGGACUGAGAGGUUGAACGGCCACAUUGGGACUGAGACACGGCCCAGACUCCUACGGGAGGCAGCAGUGGGGGAUAUUGCACAAUGGGGGAAACCCUGAUGCAGCGACGCCGCGUGGAGGAAGAAGGUUUUCGGAUUGUAAACUCCUGUCGUUAGGGACGAUAAUGACGGUACCUAACAAGAAAGCACCGGCUAACUACGUGCCAGCAGCCGCGGUAAAACGUAGGGUGCAAGCGUUGUCCGGAAUUACUGGGUGUAAAGGGAGCGCAGGCGGGAAGACAAGUUGGAAGUGAAAACCAUGGGCUCAACCCAUGAAUUGCUUUCAAAACUGUUUUUCUUGAGUAGUGCAGAGGUAGAUGGAAUUCCCGGUGUAGCGGUGGAAUGCGUAGAUAUCGGGAGGAACACCAGUGGCGAAGGCGGUCUACUGGGCACCAACUGACGCUGAGGCUCGAAAGCAUGGGUAGCAAACAGGAUUAGAUACCCUGGUAGUCCAUGCCGUAAACGAUGAUUACUAGGUGUUGGGGGAUUGACCCCCUCAGUGCCGCAGUUAACACAAUAAGUAAUCCACCUGGGGAGUACGACCGCAAGGUUGAAACUCAAAGGAAUUGACGGGGGCCCGCACAAGCAGUGGAGUAUGUGGUUUAAUUCGAAGCAACGCGAAGAACCUUACCAGGUCUUGACAUCCGAUGCAUAGCACAGAGAUGUGUGAAAUCCUUCGGGACAUCGAGACAGGUGGUGCAUGGUUGUCGUCAGCUCGUGUCGUGAGAUGUUGGGUUAAGUCCCGCAACGAGCGCAACCCUUAUUGCCAGUUACUACGUUAAGAGGACUCUGGCGAGACUGCCGUUGACAAAACGGAGGAAGGUGGGGAUGACGUCAAAUCAUCAUGCCCCUUAUGACCAGGGCUACACACGUGCUACAAUGGCGUAAACAAAGGGAAGCGAGACCGCGAGGUGGAGCAAAUCCCAAAAAUAACGUCUCAGUUCGGAUUGUAGUCUGCAACUCGACUACAUGAAGCUGGAAUCGCUAGUAAUCGCGAAUCAGAAUGUCGCGGUGAAUACGUUCCCGGGCCUUGUACACACCGCCCGUCACACCACGAGAGUUUGUAACACCCGAAGUCGGUGAGGUAACCUUUUUGGAGCCAGCCGCCUAAGGUGGGAUAGAUGAUUGGGGUG